rnacentral:rRNA from 1 species
AGGGGGGAAUUAAUAAAGUAUAAAUAAUAAAAAAAAUUUUAAAUUAAAAAUAUGAUAAUGGGGGUUAAAGUAUUUUUAAUUAAAAUAAUAAAAAAAUUUAUAGAAAAUUAUGUAUUGUAAAGGAAAUUUGAAAUAAUAUUAAAAAAUAAAUUAAUAAAAAGAAAAUUUAAUUUAUUGUAUCUUGUGUAUCAGAGUUUAUUAAAUAAAAUUUUUAUGUAAAAAAAUCUCGAAUUUUAAAGAGUUAAUUAAUUAUAAAAGUUAAUGUAAUAUAAUUAUUUUUAAUAGUUAAUUAGAAAUGAAAUGUUAAUCGUUUUAAAAAAUAUCUAGUUAUUUUAGAAAAAAGUUUAAUUUUAAAUUUGAAUUAUUUUAUAAUUAAUUAAAUUAAAAUUAUAAAAAAAAUUAAAUUUUAUAUUUUAGGGGAUAAGCUUUAAAUUAAAAAUUUAUAAUUUUAAAAGAUAAAAAUAAAAUUUUUAAAAUUUAAAUUGUUUAUAAAUUAAAAUUUAUUAUAAAAAAUUUUAUUAAAUAAUAAAAUUUAAUUAAAAAAUUUAAUUUUAUAUAAAAUAAUAAUUUUUAAUUAUGUAAAAUUAAAAAUAAUGAUAAAAUUAGUAUAAUUAUAAUUUUAAUAAUGUAAAUAAAUAAUAAAAUUAAUUAAAAGGAAUUCGGCAAAAUUAAUUAUUCACUUGUUUAACAAAAACAUGUCUUUUUGAAAAUAAUUUAAAGUCUAAUCUGCCCACUGAUAAACAUUAAAGGGCUGCAGUAUAUUGACUGUACAAAGGUAGCAUAAUCAUUAGUUUUUUAAUUGAAAACUUGCAUGAAAGAUUUAAUGAAAUAAUAACUGUCUCUAAAUUAUUAAUAAAAUUUUAUUUUUUAGUAAAAAAGCUAAAAUAGACUUAAAAGACGAGAAGACCCUAUAGAGUUUUAUAUUUAAUUUAUUUUUAAUUAAAUAUAUAAAUUAGUAUAAAAAAUAAAUAAAAUAUUAUAUUGGGGUGAUAGAAAAAUUUAAAUAACUUUUUUUAAAUUAUAACCAUUAAUAAAUGAUUUUUUGAUCCAUGAAUAAUGAUUAAAAGAUAAAAUUACCUUAGGGAUAACAGCGUAAUAUUAUUUUUUAGUUCAGAUAAAAAAUAAAGUUUGCGACCUCGAUGUUGGAUUAAGAUAAAAUUUAAAUGCAAAAGUUUAAAGGUUUGAUCUGUUCGAUCAUUAAAAUCUUACAUGAUCUGAGUUCAAACCGGCGUGAGCCAGGUUGGUUUCUAUCUUUAAGAAAAUAAAAUAUUUUAGUACGAAAGGAUUAAAUAUUUGAAAUAAUUUUAAUUAAAAGAAUUUUAAUAAUAGUAAGUU